UGCCAGCCGCCGCGGUAAUACGGAGGGUGCGAGCGUUAAUCGGAAUUACUGGGCGUAAAGCGUGCGUAGGUGGCUUGGUAAGUCGGAUGUGAAAGCCCUGGGCUCAACCUGGGAACUGCAUUCGAUACUGCCUGGCUAGAGGGUGGCAGAGGAAAGCGGAAUUCCAAGUGUAGCGGUGAAAUGCGUAGAUAUUUGGAGGAACAUCGGUAGCGAAAGCGGCAUUCUGGACCAUUCCUGACGCUGAGGUACGAAAGCGUGGGUAGCAAACAGGAUUAGAUA
rnacentral:rRNA from 1 species